GCCAACAUCAUUCUCAAUGGUGAAAAACUGAAACCACUUCCUCUAAGAUCAGGAACAAGACAAGGUUGUCCACUCUCACCACUCUUAUUCAACAUACUUUUGGAAGUUUUAGCCACAGCAAUCAGAGAA